CCUACGGGUGGCUGCAGUGGGGAAUUUUGGACAAUGGGCGCAAGCCUGAUCCAGCCAUGCCGCGUGCGGGAAGAAGGCCUUCGGGUUGUAAACCGCUUUUGUCAGGGAAGAAAAGUUCCGGGUUAAUACCCUGGGAUGCUGACGGUACCUGAAGAAUAAGCACCGGCUAACUACGUGCCAGCAGCCGCGGUAAUACGUAGGGUGCGAGCGUUAAUCGGAAUUACUGGACGCGGAUCGGGCACAGGGGGGUGAAAUCCCCGGGCUCAACCUGGGAACUGCAUUUGUGACUGCACGACUGGAGUGCGGCAGAGGGGGAUGGAAUUCCGCGUGUAGCAGUGAAAUGCGUAGAUAUGCGGAGGAACACCGAUGGCGAAGGCAAUCCCCUGGGCCUGCACUGACGCUCAUGCACGAAAGCGUGGGGAGCAAACAGGAUUAGAUACCCCAGUAGUC
rnacentral:rRNA from 1 species